rnacentral:tRNA from 1 species
GGCCCAAUGGUCUAGAGGUAAGAUACUUGCUUUGGGUUAGUUCGACCGCCUGCAAGGGAUCCCGGGUUCGAAUCCCGGUUGGGCCC